rnacentral:rRNA from 1 species
CCAGACUCCUACGGGAGGCAGCAGUGGGGGAUAUUGCACAAUGGGGGAAACCCUGAUGCAGCGACGCCGCGUGUGGGAAGACGGUCUUCUGGAUUGUAAACCACUGUCCCCAGGGACGAAAAUGACGGUACCUGGGGAGGAAGCUCCGGCUAACUACGUGCCAGCAGCCGCGGUAAUACGUAGGGAGCAAGCGUUGUCCGGAAUUACUGGGUGUAAAGGGAGCGUAGACGGCGAAGAAAGUCUGAAGUGAAAGCCCGCGGCUUAACCGCGGAACUGCUUUGGAAACUUUUUUGCUGGAGUACCGGAGAGGUAAGCGGAAUUCCUAGUGUAGCGGUGAAAUGCGUAGAUAUUAGGAGGAACACCAGUGGCGAAGGCGGCUUACUGGACGGUAACUGACGUUGAGGCUCGAAAGCGUGGGGAGCAAACAGGAUUAGAUACCCGCGUA